GCCCGGGUGGCUCAGUCAGUUAAGCGUCCGACUUUAGCUCAGGUCAUGAUCUCGCAGUUUGUGGGUUUGAGCCCCACAUCGGGCU
rfam:Felis catus isolate Cinnamon breed Abyssinian chromosome D2, whole genome shotgun sequence.